GUGACCUCGGCCUUCAUCGACCACUUCGGCUUCAACGACGAGGAAUUCGGGGAGCAGGAGGAGAGUGUCAACGCCCCCUUCGACAGGACGGGCAGCCUGAGCUUCUCGCUGAGCGCCGACGACGACAGUCCCAACUCCAACCUGUUUGAAGUCUGCUACAAGGAGCGGAUCCAGCAGUUUGAUGAUGACGACUCGGACGGGGAGGAUGCCUGGCAGGAGA